GAGAAUUGGAAGCGAGGAAAAAGGUGGUGUUGUAACUACAGAACAAUUCCGUCAUAAUUUCAGGUUUCUCGGAUCACAUAAAAAAUUCAUAACAAUUUCAGCCAUUGCCAUUCAUUGACGACGAGAAACUGUUGACAGUUGUUAUUAUUUGAAGUCAUUGUAUGUAACGAGAAUUGGAAGCGAGGAAAAAGGUGGUGUUGUAACUACAGAACAAUUCCGUCAUAAUUUCUGGUUUCUCGGAUCACAUAAAAAAUUCAUAACAAUUUCAGC